rnacentral:rRNA from 1 species
CACGUAGGGGGCAAGCGUUGUCCGGAAUCAUUGGGCGUAAAGAGCUCGUAGGCGGCUCAGUAAGUCGGGUGUGAAACCCUCAGGCUCAACCUGGGGACGCCACCCGAUACUGCUGUGGCUAGAGUCCAGUAGGGGAGUGUGGAAUUCCCGGUGUAGCGGUGAAAUGCGCAGAUAUCGGGAGGAACACCAGCGGCGAAGGCGGCACUCUGGGCUGGUACUGACGCUGAGGAGCGAAAGCGUGGGUAGCAAACAGG